GAAUGCUUGUCGGAACAGCUCCUGUAGCACUAAAGUGCUUAUAGUGCAGGUAGUGAUUAAUAAUCUACUGCAUUACGAGCACUUAAAGUACUGCUAGCUGUAGAGCAUCAGUUUUGUCC
rnacentral:pre_miRNA from 11 species